UCGAAGCAGUGGUGGUUGUCAAAGCGCCACUUUUUCUUCGCGAGCACUUUGCUGCCCGGAGUUUGCAAACCGCGUGCAAUGAACGCGCAUCCCGAUGGCCAAAUAGGUCGCGCGCUCUGCUCGCGGCGCCACCACAACUGCGCGCAGACCCUAGGUCUGAGAACAGUAGCUCGAGAGCUUGGCACAACUGCAAAGGCCCAUUGAGUUAUAGCUUUUCCUUUACUUCUGGCUGUUCCUACAUUCUUCUGAUCCAGCUGGCUGCAUUUUCCUUGAAAUUUGCUGAAGUUCUGUCAUUGUAACAGAGGUUGCCUGUGGAGUUGGAUCAGGCUACACAUGGGCAGGAACAUUGCAGUUUGACCCAUCUAAUUUAAAAUAACUUUGGCAGAUUUUCAAUAUUUCCCUCAGAGCUUACAGCAAAGAAAAGGCCUUGUCAGCUGAAUCAUGGAGUGUAUCUCCAGUGUGGACAG